UUUGACACCUAGAUGCAGAGCAUUCAAACCACAUCUCUUCUAGCAGAUUCGUGUUUUCAUGUGGUGUCAUUUGUCUUCCACCUGAAGAAUUUUUUAAACCUUUUCUGAAGUGAGGUGGAACAUAACUCCCGAUGCCUUAAG